ensembl:lncRNA
AUGGUGAGGCAGGGAGGAUGCAGGAAAAUAAAGAAUCCAACUUCCCUUUCCUCUUGUCCUCUGAGGUUCUACUGGUACCUCCAUGGACCAAACCCAACAGGAAGCCAGAUGGCAAGGCAGCCAGCUGCUGGCUGUAGAGUUCAGGCAAUCAGACCACAGAAAAGAUGCAGAUGGAGAAGCGACCUGCAGGGAAACCAGAGGAACCAGGAAGUGGAGAAGGUUGGGGAAAUGGCCAGCAUCUCCACAGUGGAUAAAAGAUGGGUGAAAGAGCUUGAAGCCAGAAGCCGUGAAUCUGAGCGACACCUGGCAGUGCAGACCUGUGCACCCACAGUCCAGUUUGGAUGCCCCAGGGGGCCAUGCCUUUUGACUCGGAUGCAGCUGGAUACCGCAGCACACUUCAACAUUCCUAACAUCGGUGUGACCAAGAGUAGCCAGCAAUUUUCUCCUCAAUGCUAGAAGGGGAGUGGUAUCUGCCAAGUCCUCAGAAGAAGGGCAAUGAAGAAAACCUCUGUCUUCCCACACAAGCAAAGCAACAGGAUAAACACAUGCGUGCUCAAGGAGUUUUAAUUUCAUGCAAAGACUCAGAGAAAAAACAGUGGAGGAAAAUUUCUAAUCAUUCAAAAUAACUUUAUAAAAAUCAACCGGAAUAUAUUACAGACUACAUUAAUACUUUCACAUGACUUCCAAGAUAAGUGAAAGAAUCAACAAAUACAUCGGUGGCCCGCCUUGGGUUAGGCUCCCCACCCCUUCACACAAAUGUGCUCUUUCUUUUCCAUCUGACUUCCUCAGUCUUUCUUCUCCACCAGCAAGGACAACAGCAGUGAGAAGAACGCUCAGGGGAUGCCAAGGUCCUUGCCUUCUACUCCUAGUUAUUGGGAGGAUUCCAGCUAUGUCCCUCUUCCCACCCUAUGAAAUGCUCCACACCAUGUGCUGCACCAAAAUCGCAGGACAACGGGGCACUGGGUGAGUGACUUGGGAAAGUUCCCUACAGGAAAGACUUUGGCUUCUUCUUCUCACUACAGGGUGUGGAUGUGGGAGGAAGGAGCCUCCUAAGCUGUAGUUACUUAAGGCUGACCAAAAGAGCUGAGGAAAUUCUCAGGCUCAAAAAUGGGCACAACCAUCAGAGAGAGAGUCCAUUUAGAGCUCAGCGCUGUCUGGCCAUACCACCCUGAAUGCGCCCGAUCUCGUCUGCUCUAGGAAGAGCUCAGCACUAGUGCUAGUUGGAGUCAGUUAUUCUUUGUGGGGAAGGGGCUGCCCUAGGCCUUUGGGAAUAUUUAGCAGCAUCUCUAUACCAGUAGCACUGGAUACUCCAUUGUGCCAACUCACAAUGUCUCUAGAUGAGGCUGGGGUGCCCAGGGUUGAGAACCACAGAACUAGAGGAUGGGAGCCGGAGUUUAAUAACCAAAUACUGGUUCCCUCUAUGUGUCCUCUGUGCUACAUAUAUCUGCUGGGACUCACAGACAUCUGUGGCCAUGGUAGAUGGAGCAAAAUGCAGGAUACAAAGAUUCACACACCUAUGUUGUCCACCAGCCUCAGAACUAGCAUUACUAGAACUGAGUACCAAUGUGAGAGGCAGAAUUCAUCCCAGUGUCACGAGAGCCACAUACAGCUGCACAGGCUGGGUACUGCACAAUCCUAGAAGAUGUUAUUCACACAGACUGUGGUGUGAAUGGAGAUCCCGGAGUUGUGCGGUGAAGCAGCCCUGAAUGUCGCAAUGUUUCAGCCGUCUGUCUCCUGAGUGGCAGAAAGCGAAACUUGGGAAGAAGGAAGAAUAAAACUAGUAAACAAUAUGUUUGGGAUUGGAAA